GUGUAAUGUUUUUCAGAUUCUGUUUUCCAAUCUCCACCUCAACUACUGGAGUGCUACAGGUGUAAAAACAAUGAUCCUAAAAUACCCCUGGCUAGUGACACAUGUCCCUGCAGUAUGAGUUCCAUAUCAGCCCUUAUGAGGGCUAGAAAUGAGAGACCCCCUGUGGAUGGCUUGGUAACUGCUGCACCAAACUUUGUGGACUGGACCCGAAACCCAUGACAGGCGGUCAAUGAUAAAAAUGAGUGAUUUGUGGCUAGCCCUAAUAUUUAUUCUCAGCCUUUUGGCUUUGUUUACAUAGCCCCAUGAGCUUACAGUUCACAUAUAGAAUGGUUGCUUUCAGUUAAACUGGUGUGGGCCUAUGAUUUCUAUAACGUUAAAUACCACUGCUAAAUAUUCAGAACAACAAACUAUGACGGAGCAGGCAUAGAAGCAAGCAUAGAAGCUGCUAACCUGGUUGGACUAAAUACUUCAAAUUUCGUGAGGGCGUGACAUCAUAAUUGACUGAUAAAUACGGUGGUUUCACAAAGCUCACGUCAAACAGGUUUCUUCUCGUGCAGGCGGCAUCUUCGACAUUUGAGUUAAACAGAAACAGAAUAUGGGAAUAUUUUGAUUCGUCUUUACGGUGCAACCAGACCUUCAUAUUACCUUCUCCCACCUGCACGACUAGACCAUCUAGAUUACCAGUCCUUCUGAAGACUUUGAUUUGAGGAAUGGACGACAGCAGCGUGCCUUUCAUUAGGAGCCAUAUCCACCACGUCGGUUCCUGGCUGAAAACAUGGCACCACUGGACAUGUGUGUUCAGCUGAUGAUUUAGCCUUCGAUACCUGGCCGCAGAUUCGUCUGGUUAACUCAAGUUCAAAUAGACAUGUUUGUGAUGCUCCACUUUGUUGUGUAAUAAAGCUUUACAACACGA